CCUGUCCAUCGGCGGCUGGCGUGGGGUCGGCUGCUGUUCUGGGAUGGUGUGCUGAGCUGGGCAAACUCAAGUGUCGCUGGUGAUGUGCUUCCACUUUGUGUCCUGUGUGGUUGACUGCUUGCAUGCCGCUUCGAGAGAACCAGAGGAGGAGUUGGUGCCUUCGACUACACUGAUGCAGUGUCACUAGAGAAGGGGGGCAUCACUGUUCUUUUCCCAACCUUUUGUUUUGUUUUGUCCUAUUGUGUGAGUGAUUCAUCCUGUGCAACCUUUUCACUUUGACGUCCGAGACGAAGGGGCUUGUGUAAGUUUCACUCUAACAUCCGAGACGAAGGGGCUCGUGUAAGUUUCUACUUAGUAACCGCCAAGACGGAGCUUGUGUAUAUGAUUAGGGUAUGAACACUGAAGUAUUACUGGGAGACGUAUCUUAAAUCUCAGACUCCUUUUGGAACCUAUACUUGCUGUAGGGGGAGACCAAAGACGUGUGUCUAACAGGCUUGUGUGUGUGUGUGGUGGCCAUUACCAAUUUUGCCCUUUUGGCAGUUUGUUUUCUUUUGUACAAUUUGAUUUACUAACUUUGUUUGCCGUGCAAUUUUUGUCAUUUGGUCUACCC